AGGCUAGAUAGCAAAGAUUGGAUAUGCAGGAGAUUGCAAAUCUUCUAUAGGUCGGUUCAAAUCCGAUUCUAGCCUU
rnacentral:tRNA from 1 species